UACGUAGGCAGCAAGCGUUGUUCGGAGUUACUGGGCGUAAAGGGCGCGUAGGCGGUUUGCUAAGUUGAAUGUGAAAACUCUGGGCUUAACCCAGAGCCUGCAUUCAAUACUGGCAGGCUAGAGUUCUGGAGGGGAUAGCGGAAUUCCUGGUGUAGCGGUGAAAUGCGUAGAUAUCAGGAGGAACACCGGUGGCGAAGGCGGCUAUCUGGACAGAGUCUGACGCUGAGGCGCGAAAGCUAGGGGAGCAAACAGG
rnacentral:rRNA from 1 species